rnacentral:rRNA from 1 species
UUGAAUUCUGCUCCGGCAGUUCAAUUUCCAAUAGGUUAUUGACACUCCGGGCAUCAGUCUGCAAUCUUUUUCACGGCAUUCACUUGUCGGGCUAGGGAGCAGACGCUUUACCUUGAGAAAAUUAGAGUGUUCCAGGCAGGCUUCAGCCCGAAUACAUUAGCAUGGAAUAAUAGAAUAGGACUAGAGACUAUUUAUUGGUUUAAGGCUCUAGUAAUGAUUAAUAGGAACAGUCGGGGGCAUUAGUACUUAACAGUCAGAGGUGAAAUUCUAGGAUUUGUUAAAGACUAACUAAUGCGAAAGCAUUUGCCAAGCAUGUUUUCAUUAAUCAAGAACGAAAAGUUAGGGGAUCAAAGACGAUUAGAUACCGUCG